UACGUAGGGCGCAAGCGUUGUCCGGAAUUAUUGGGCGUAAAGAGCUCGUAGGCGGUCUGUCGCGUCUGUUGUGAAAACUCGAGGCUCAACCUCGGGCUUGCAGUGGGUACGGGCAGACUAGAGUGUGGUAGGGGAGACUGGAAUUCCUGGUGUAGCGGUGAAAUGCGCAGAUAUCAGGAGGAACACCGAUGGCGAAGGCAGGUCUCUGGGCCACUACUGACGCUGAGAAGCGAAAGCAUGGGGAGCGAACAGG
rnacentral:rRNA from 1 species